UACGGGGGGGGCAAGCGUUGUUCGGAAUUACUGGGCGGAAAGGGCUCGUAGGCGGCCAACUAAGUCGGACGUGAAAUCCCCAGGCUCAACCUGGGAACUGCGUCCGAUACUGGAUGGCUUGAAUCCGGGAGAGGGAUGCAGAAUUCCAGGUGUAGCGGUGAAAUGCGUAGAUAUCUGGAGGAAUACCGGUGGCGAAGGCGGCAUCCUGGACCGGCAUUGACGCUGAGGAGCGAAAGCCAGGGGAGCAAACGGG
rnacentral:rRNA from 1 species